rnacentral:rRNA from 1 species
UACGUAGGGGGCUAGCGUUGUCCGGAAUCAUUGGGCGUAAAGAGCGUGUAGGCGGUCCGGUAAGUCCGCUGUGAAAGUCGGGGGCUCAACCCUCGAAUGCCGGUGGAUACUGUCGGGCUAGAGUGCGGAAGAGGCGAGUGGAAUUCCUGGUGUAGCGGUGAAAUGCGCAGAUAUCAGGAGGAACACCUAUUGCGAAGGCAGCUCGCUGGGACGCAACUGACGCUGAGGAGCGAAAGCGUGGGUAGCAAACAAG